rnacentral:rRNA from 1 species
GACGAACGCUGGCGGCGUGCUUAACACAUGCAAGUCGAACGGAAAGGCCCUGCUUUUGUGGGGUGCUCGAGUGGCGAACGGGUGAGUAACACGUGAGUAACCUGCCCUUGACUUUGGGAUAACUUCAGGAAACUGGGGCUAAUACCGGAUAGGAGCUCCUGCUGCAUGGUGGGGGUUGGAAAGUUUCGGCGGUUGGGGAUGGACUCGCGGCUUAUCAGCUUGUUGGUGGGGUAGUGGCUUACCAAGGCUUUGACGGGUAGCCGGCCUGAGAGGGUGACCGGCCACAUUGGGACUGAGAUACGGCCCAGACUCCUACGGGAGGCAGCAGCGGGGAAUAUUGCACAAUGGGCGGAAGCCUGAUGCAGCAGCGCCGCGUGCGGGAUGACGGCCUUCGGGUUGUAAACCGCUUUCGCCUGUGACGAAGCGUGAGUGACGGUAAUGGGUAAAGAAGCACCGGCUAACUACGUG